rnacentral:rRNA from 1 species
CCUACGGUGGACAGCAGUGAGGAAUAUUGGUCAAUGGGCGCGAGCCUGAACCAGCCAAGUAGCGUGAAGGCUGACUGCCCUACGGGUUGUAAACUUCUUUUCUCAAGGAAUAAAGUGAGGCACGUGUGCCUUUUUGUAUGUACUUUAUGAAUAAGGAUCGGCUAACUCCUUGCCAGCAGCCGCGGACAUACGGAGGAUCCAAGCGUUAUCCGGAUUUAUUGGGGUUAAAGGGAGCGGAGAUGGGUUGUUCAGUCAGUGGUGAAAGUUUGCGGCUCAACCGUAAAAUUGCAAUUGAUACUGGCAGUCGUGAGUACAGUUGAGGUAGGCGGAAUUCGUGGUGUAGCGGUGAAAUGCUUAGAUAUCACGAAGAACUCCGAUUGCGAAGGCAGCUUACUAAACUGCCACUGACAGUGAUGCUCGAAAGUGUGGGUAUCAAACAGGAGUAGAGACCCGAGUAGUC